GACGAACGCUGGCGGCGUGCCUAAUACAUGCAAGUCGAGCGCAGGAAACCGUCUGAACCCUUCGGGGGGACGACGAUGGAAUGAGCGGCGGACGGGUGAGUAACACGUAAAGAACCUGCCCACGGGUCUGGGAUAACCACGAGAAAUCGGGGCUAAUACCGGACGGGUCAUCGGACCGCAUGGUCCGAGGAUGAAAGGCGCUCCGGCGUCGCCCGUGGAUGGCUUUGCGGUGCAUUAGCUAGUUGGUGGGGUAACGGCCCACCAAGGCGACGAGUCAUAGGCGACCUGAGAGGGUGAUCGGCCACACUGGGACUGAGACACGGCCCAGACUCCUACGGGAGGCAGCAGUAGGGAAUCUUCCACAAUGGACGAAAGUCUGAUGGAGCAACGCCGCGUGAACGAUGAAGGCCCUCGGGUCGUAAAGUUCUGUUGUAAGGGAAGAACAAGUGCCGCAGGCAAUGGCGGCACCUUGACGGUACCUUGCGAGAAAGCCACGGCUAACUACGUGCCAGCCGCCGCAGUAA
rnacentral:rRNA from 1 species